rnacentral:lncRNA from 1 species
UAAACAGGGCAGCCGCAGGGAGGAGGAACACAAGGCGCAGGGAGACAGAAAGGCAGGGGCGGCCAUGAUGGAUCCCAGCGCCACAAACAAGGGGCCAAGCCCGCGCCGGGCCGCCUGGAUUCCCGUAUGAAGAUGACAACAUUUGGGUCCUCUCCUUCCUUCAUCGCAAAAAGAGUGCCAAAGAUGGAAUAGCAUAAGGAAAAAGCACAAUACUGCCUUAGAUCAAAAAACAAUCCUUGGCAUGCUGAGUGAGGACAUACAUUACAAGAAGAGUCCCAAGCUCAAUCCUAGGUAUGAUCAACAAUCUUUCUAAAUCUAAAUCAUUUCUAAUCUAAAUGUUUAGGACAAAGACACACAAAUCAUCUUUUAUAGCCAAAGCCAUGCACUCAGAGGUGCACAGCCUACUUCAGUGCCCUGAAUGAUUCUGUUCUGUAAGUGCCA